rnacentral:rRNA from 1 species
CCUGGUGCUUCUAGCGAAGGGGGUACACCUGUUCCCAUCCCGAACACAGAAGUUAAGCCCUUCAGCGCCGAUGGUACUACCUCAUGAGUGGUGGAAGAGUAGGUCGGUGCCAGGA